ACGGGAGGCAGCAGUGAGGAAUAUUGGUCAAUGGGCGGAAGCCCGAACCAGCCAAGUCGCGUGCAGGAAGACGGUCCUAUGGAUUGUAAACUGCUUUUGUACGGGAAUAAAGUGAGGGACGUGUCCCUUUUGGAAUGUACCGUAAGAAUAAGGGUCGGCUAACUCCGUGCCAGCAGCCGCGGUAAUACGGAGGACCCGAGCGUUAUCCGGAUUUAUUGGGUUUAAAGGGUGCGUAGGCGGAGGAUUAAGUCAGCGGUGAAAUUUUCAUGCUCAACAUGAAAACUGCCAUUGAUACUGGUCCCCUUGAGAGAUGUCGAGGAUGGCGGAAUGUGAUGUGUAGCGGUGAAAUGCUUAGAUAUGUCACAGAACACCGAUUGCGAAGGCAGCUGUCCAGAGAUCUUCUGACGCUCAGGCACGAAAGCAUGGGUAUCAAACAGGAUUAGAUACCCUGGUA
rnacentral:rRNA from 1 species